ACUUGUAGUUCUUGUGGGGCACUUCGGGCGUGCCUUGGGCAGGCUGUCCCCGCGGCCCCAGAGGAUAAAAGAGGAUCCUCUCUAAGCUGGGUGACCCGGCAUUAGGCGUUUCCUCUAGAGCUAGCAGGGAGGCCGGGCUUCUAACUCUGCGUGUUGCGCCACCGGAACUUAACUUCAUCGUUUCUUUGUGUGCGGACGCCUUUCAAAUGCAGGACCUUGAAGGCUGAGUCCGCAGUUCCCGCAUCUCUUCCACCGCGCCCCGGAGCUGAGAUGCUUGCUUUCCUUCAUGCUGCCGUGGCGCUGCCUGUGGAUUAUCUGCAGAGUGCCUUAUCUUGCUUCUCCUCCAGUUCCUGUCCAGCACUACGUCUAAGCCCCCUCCCCUCCCUCAACCCCUCAAUUACCGAGCUCAAAAAGAACGAUUGCCUUUCUCACUUGAAUCCACUCCUAUUCUCUUCUUCAGACCUCCAGAGCAGAGCUAAAUACAGUGGGUAUUUUAAAGAAUCUACUGUGCAGACCGCUCCCCUCUUCCUGCAGGAGGAUGGACAAAAAGAAUCUGGGAAUUGAAAUCUGUGAGGCUUGUGCGUCAGGCAUGUGCCUGAUAAAACUGCAAGCAUUCAUUCGGGGCAGAAACUGACGGUGGGAAUCUGGAGGAUACCUGAUAAAUUCUCCCCCAGUGUGGAUACCUAGGCAAAUAUUUCUAUAUUAACAAAAAGGAGGCCUAGCACCAAGGGACAUGAUGGACCCAGGACAGGCUGCAACCACCCUGGCAUCAAAGGAAAAGUAUUUUUGUGCAUUAGAAGACUUGUGAUCAAGAGGGGAACUGACAAAAAUCUUCUCACUGAGGUAUGGGUUGCUAGAAUAAUGCUACUGAAGUAAGGUUCAGACACUACUUUGGUGGACCCCAAAACAGACCUAGCUCUAGCAACAAGAGAAUUUCACUCCUCUAAUUCAGGAAACUGAAACAUCCAUUCUCAGCAGGAAGCAAUUACAGAGGUCUUAACUUCAGUCCCAUACCCCUCAAGACUGAAGACUGAAAUUUCUUAAAGGGGGAUUUUGUAAGCAGAUUGGGUAGAAGGUCCCCACAGAAAGAAAACUAGGCAUGACUUUCUUGACAAAGAGAAGCCGCUUUUGGCCUAAGUCAUUUUGUAAUCUAAGCCUGACCACAGUGCUUGUCCUUGGACAGAUCUCAGUAAUUAAUAAUCUUAAUCAAGAUUGCCGGGAGAAAUAUCAAUAACCUCAGAUAUGCAGAUGACACCACCCU